UCCGUCCCAUAUUAUUUGCUGCUUUGAGUUUUUGUUUGUAGUGUUUGAUCAUUCGUCUUAUUCAAAAAAAUUUUGGAAUUAUUAUUUAUUUUGUUUGUGACUUGUUUUAUUAUCAAAAGUACUUUAAGUUUGACUUAUUAUUUUUGUACUUGCACUAAUUUUUCAAAUAAAAUGAAUGGUCAAAUGUUGUAAGAAAAAAGUCAAAGCAACAAGUAAUAUGGGAUAGAGGU
rnacentral:misc_RNA from 1 species